GACGAGCUACACAAACGUUAUUCGGAAUCACUGGGCGUAAAGGGUGCGUAGGCGGGUUUUUAAGUCAGGGGUGAAAUCCUGGAGCUCAACUCCAGAACUGCCUUUGAUACUGAAGAUCUUGAGUCCGGGAGAGGUGAGUGGAACUGCGAGUGUAGAGGUGAAAUUCGUAGAUAUUGGGAGGAACACCAGUGGCGAAGGCGGCUCACUGGACCGGUUCUGACGCUGAGGCGCGAAAGCGUGGGGAGCAAACGGG
rnacentral:rRNA from 1 species